rnacentral:lncRNA from 1 species
GUUCAGGUCGUGGGUGAUUGCGACAACCAACAUCCUCUUCAGUCGCAGGUGAGGGUAUCUGAUACAUAAAAGAAAAAUCAUAUGGCUCGAAUGGCAUCGAUGAACUUGAGCCGGGAGGACUGCCAUGCUGCAAUCGAUACAACCCAGUAGGAGUGGAGUACUACAGUGGAUAUGGGCCGGGGUAGUGCUAUAAUCGGUGGAUAUGGGCCGGGAUAAGUGUUGUGCUGUUGUGGGU